rnacentral:lncRNA from 1 species
AUUUGUUCCUUCAAGAACAUUGAAAUAGGGGCUGGCUCCGGGGCUGAGUGGUUAAGUUGGCACACUCUGCUGUGGUGACCCAGGGUUUCACCAGUUCGGAUCCUGGGCGCAGAUGUGGCACUGCUCAUCUGGCCAUGUUGAGGCGGUGUCCCACAUGCCACAACUAGAAGGACCUACAACUAAAAUAUACAACUAAAUACUGGAGGGAUUUGGGGAGAAAAAAGCAGAAAAAAAAAAAAAAGAUUGGCAACACUCGUUAGCUCAGAUGUCAAUCUUUAAAAAAAAAAACACACAACAUUGAAAUAGCAAUAAAAGAAAAGGAGAACCUACACCUAUGUGAUGCCAAAGCAUUACUGUGCUCAUUUCUGUUUCUUUUCCAAGUGCGCAUGGUAUUCCCUCUUUUUACUAGGAACAUAGUAACCCUUUGGAAUUCAGCUUUCUCAGCUAGCUGUACACCAUCAAAGUUUAUUUGUUUGUUUAUAAUCUUGAGUUUUUAUAUGCAAAAGAUGGGACCAUGUCUCCUGUGGUUAGACCACGUAGGAAUGAGUGGAGAGUGGUGGAGGGUGUGGUGAAGGACAUCAGGAAAAGGAGGAAGGGCAGGUGGGAAGAGCAGAGAGAUGGGAGAAUAAGAGGAAGACUGGCCCAGAUGGUGCUCUUAGAAGCUAGCUACAUUUUACAUUUUAAUUUAAAAUUAAAAGUGAUGACAGUGAUGCAUUUCAUGUGGCAACUUAUAGUUUACCAGGUGCUGGCAUGUCUCUUUGAUCCACAUGGGUCCUUGAGGACACUCAAGGCAGCCAUUUUUGGCAGCUAAAUUAAAAGAGGUUUGUACUAUCUGAUAUAAAUUAAUGAUUUCACCUCUGAAUGAGAUUUUAAAAAUAAAUUUCUGAUUUCAUUUAUAAGAUUUAUCUGCUUUAGUGACUGAGUUAGUUAGGAUUAAGAUGGUCAAGAAUGGUAAUAAAACUGAGUUUGUUGAUCUUUAUGUUACUUGACUUCAUAUGUAAUCUGAGUUGUGUACUUCUGAGUGACUGUCAAUUCCUAGUUUUCCUUUUGUUUUUAAUUUCCUUCAAUGGAUUUCUACCUAAAUGUCAAUAGAAAAGAGGAAAGAGUGCUACUCCUAAAUAUUUCAGAGCACAACAAUAUGCUGGGUCCUUUGACUCAUAAAAUCAGUCUUGUUCCCAUCCUCAUUCAACCUGAAUUGGGUUGAAAGGGAGAAAUUUACUUUGUUUUUCUCUCUGCCAUUUAGUUUACAAAGGGAGAAAAAAUACCCUGGAUCUUUGGAUUCCCAAGCCAGGAAAAACGAAGUAGAGGAAUCUUAACUUGGUGUCAUCACCUUUCAACACUAGCUCACACAAAACACAGAGCAUACACACAUGCGUGCACACACACACGCAUCACCCUUUGGCAUAGGUGGGCCAGGCAGAUUUGGUAACAAUCUCAGUUCUACCACUUUCUAUCUAUUAACAUUUAGUGAUGGCCUGGAGCCCUCUGGACCUGUUUUCUCAUUGUUACAACUGGGAAUAAAUUACCAAGCUAUCGUGAGCAUUAUGUAAAAUAAUGCGCUGAAAGUACCUACAGGGGUCUCAACUCUGUCUGUGCCACUACAUUCAUUUGCAGAACUUGAAAAUAAUAACGACAACAACAGCUGUCUGGUCCUUCCCAGACUAAGUCACAUUGUUGCAGGUAGGCUGAGGUCUCAAUAUUUCAACAAAGCUUUCCAGGUAGUUCUGACGCUCAGCCGGAGUUGAGAGUCCCUGACCUGUGGACAAUGCCUCAGCGUCAGAUUUCAUCCUUUUCCACCCUUCCUGCAGGGUUCCUCUGACACAUGUGUCUCUUACCAGGAAGGAAAGUAUAAGACAAACUCAUUCACAUGAAAACACUGGGGCACCUAAUGUGUUAUAUUUUCUAAGAAAGAAAGGAAGCUUCUUUCGGUGGUGGUGGGCUGUUGUCUUGUGCAUUGUAGGGUGUUUGUCACUAUCUCUGGCCUUUCUGCUCACUAGAUGUCAGUAGCAACCCUUCCCCAAGUUGAGACAACUAAAAAUGUCUCCAGAUAUUGUUAAAUGUCCCCUGGAAGACAAAAUCACCCCUUGAUGAUAACCAAUGGCCUAAAACAUUUGUUCUCAAACCUGGGUGCUAUGGACUGAAUUUUGUCCCACCAAAAUUCAUAUGUUGAAGUUUUAACCCCCAGUGUGACUGUAUUUGGAAAUAGUUCUUUUAGGAGGUAAUUAAGGUUAAUGAAGUCAUAAGGGUGGGACCCUGACCUAGUAGGAUUAUUGUGCUCAGAAGAAGAGACGCCAGAGAACUUACUUUCUCUCUUUUUCUGUGUGCACAUAUGGAGGAAAGGCCCUGUAAGGACAUACAGUGAAGGUGACCAUCAACAAACCAGGAAGAGUUCUCACCAGGAAACAAAUUUGCCAGCACCUUGAUCAUGUACUUCCAACCUCCAGAACUGUGAGAAAACAUGUCUGUUGUUUAAGCCAACCAGUCUAUGGUACAGACAUGCGGCGCAUAACGACAUUUCUGUCAACCAUGGAGUGCGUACACGACAGCGGUCCCAUAAGAUUAGUACCAUAUAGCCUAGGUGUGUAGUAGGCUGUACCAUCUAGGUGUGUAGUAGUCUAUGCCAUCUAGGUUUGUAGUAGGCCAUGCCAUCUAGAUUUGUGUAAGUACACUCUACAAUGUUCGCACAAUGACAAAAUCACUUAACGAAGCGUUUUUCAGAAUGUAUCCCUGUUGUUGAGACACGACUGUAUUUUCUUAUCGUAGCUUGAUCAGACUAAUACAAGAUCCAUGAGCUAUUUUUUGGUUACACUAAGUUAUUUCAAUUUGGUCCUGCUAAUCUCCUUUGGGUUUUUAUCUAGCUGUCCAAUGUCAGUGUUUAUUACCAACAAUUUUUGUCUGUAAUUGCACAAAGUUUGGACGAUCACUUUAGAUUCCCUUAGUUCCCACAUUCCACGCUGCUUCCUUACUUUACCUGCUCUCCCCACACCAUACAUGCAGAGCCUAGUCAAACACAGAGGUAAGGUUAUGUUUCAUCUGUCUAAUAACAAAUUCUUGGUCCUCCAACACUUUCUCUUGGGCCAGGUUGAGUAACACUUGUCUAAGUUCCUCUGGCUCUUUAAACAGCAUGCUCUUCCUAUCCCCAGUAACUGAUCCACUUAGGCACUUCUCUCUUGUUCUAAAUUCUUUUUGCUCUCUUGCCCUUUGUCCUUCCUUGUCAGUCAUCUCUGAUGCAGCCUUCGUCAAUCAGCUCGUAGGGUUGGCUCUGGCACCUUUAAUGGCACCUAACAAAGAUGGUGUGAAAAGCAACAUCAUGACCACAAAAAGAGAUAUCAUAUACAGACACAUUCACUCUCUCUUUUUUGUAAUCAUAGGUAAUGAGGUCUUAUUUCAGAAUUUUAGCCAAAGCAGUAUUUCUGUGAUUCUUGGCCCCAGUGCCAGAAAUCGGUAAAGACUGACUUUUCCAGCAGAGAACUGUGUUAUCCUGAAGUGAGAGAAGAUUAAAAGAAAAAUCAACACUACAGUCCUGCCACUCAAGUGCUUGUUGCUAGGGCCAUCAAAGAUUCUGGCUGCCAGUUCUAUUUAAGCGCUCUCCACAGCUUGGCUCCCUUCCCUCCCUGAAGCAGACCUUUUCCUCUGCCACAGUUGCCUUUGAUAUGGGAUGGUUCCUGUCACAUGCUGGAGGGGGGCGGGGGGUAGUGCCUUUGGCUUCCCCAGAGGCACUGGGAGUGCUCCUUCACAGAGAUCCCCGGCUCUCCUCCUCUGGAAGUCAGGAGAUUUAAUAUGUUUGAAGGAGAAGAACGAGGAAUCUGGGAUGGCAUCUUGGUUCUGCAACCAAUUAGCCAAACGGAUGUGGAGAAGCCAUAUCAUAUCUCUGAGCCUCACUCUGUAGAGUGUAGAAAGAAAGAUGGAUUGAUUAACCUCCCCACUGCUGCUGACUGCACCGCCAGCAGGUGAACCACAAGCCACAAAGCAUUGACCAAAAUAUGCAUCUGCAAAAGAAAGACAAGGAAUUAAAGAAAUUCAACUUUGAAAGCACAGCUGGGCCAGGGUUUCCUGGCAAUGUCUACACACUGAAUUGGGGAAAAGUAGAGGUUAUCGUGAUGGAUUUGUUAGGACAGUGGCAUGCUUGUUG